UAAAAUGGACGCAUAUGAUAUUCUUUAAGUCGGGUGUUAGGAGAUAAAGUAGAAUAGGGCGGUGACCGGGAGGGGGAGGAGAAGAGGGUGGAGCGUCGAGGCCUCCGACGGCCUAGGCAUCGUAGGGCAUGGGUGGGUAGGGAGAGGACAGGGUAGAGAGUGAGAAGUGCGCCGAGGAGCACCGCGGUGGAUGCCGCCUACUAAGUCCGCUGCAGGCCGCUUAGGGCGGUAGCGCUUCGUGUCGGGCUCGAGGGGAGCCUGGCGCUGUGGGAGGGUAGGUCGAUAUAGGUCGUGAGUUCCGGUGGUUUCGGGUGGGCGCUGGGAGGGGGGUACCGAUCUCAAAGCCCGUAGAACAGGAGUGGGUACCUGUACGGCAGGAGGAGAGCAGGCUACACGUCCCUCCUUGCUGGUCACCUGUGGAACGAUGACGAGCCCCUGCUUCGCCGGUACCUCUAAGGAGGAGACGAGGGUUCAGGAAUUAGACAGCGUUAAUUCUAACCGUGAAGGAUGUAGGGAGGAAAUCAACGAAUCAGUGAUCUGUGUGCGUCGAUCCAAAAGAAACCAAGUAACUAUACCAAGUAGAAGUAGUACUACCUACACGGGAGUGUUGGUUUUCCUAGUUGUAUGGAGGUACCUCUAAUAAAUUAUUGGAUCCAUUCCUAUUUUGAUAUUUUGAUUUAUCCUGUGUGGAUGUCAUGCUGUGGUUAUGUCGCCGAGUUCAGACUUGAUUAAUUGACCGCCGACUACUAAAGUCACUUUCUUGAGAAACAAAAAUGAAAAAAUAAAAGAACCACAUAGGCGUCUAACGUGGCAAAAAGACAUACUCUCCGUGAUAAUCUCGGUGGUAUUAUUAAGAUCUUCUCUCAAAAUUUCUUGGUAGACUACACAAUCGGUUAGUUUACAUCCCACAAUGUAAUAUCUAACCAAGCUCUCUCUCAACCAAGUCAUGAUAUCCGAACACGCACUGUUGUCUUUAUAUAAUUAGGUUCACCUGUAACAAAAGGAGGUCUUUGUUCCAUCUAGGUAGACCCUACACUGUUGCUUCACGACUCGUUUCUUCACCGAACCACCCCUACCGUACGAAUUAAACUAGAUGAAAUUUAAUAGUACGUGGAAGAAAGGAAAAUGAAUAAUCAAGAGAGGGACUUCGAUCUUUCUGUGGCACUGUACGUUUAAACUAGGAUAGUUGGAGUUCUUAAUAGAAAAGGAAGAUUUACAGGGUCGUCUUCUAUUCUAAACCGAAGUGACUACAUUUAUUAAGAUUCUCCAAACGUAGGAAGGAAAAAUGAAUACAUGUAAUAACUACUACCACGAUGGAUACGUGUAUAAGUCCAACGUCGAUAUAAGUAACAUUCGUCUUCAAAAAAAACUUCUCGAUAGAAAGCCCGUGUACGAGUCCAAGCAAACUAUAGAUUCAUUCCUAUUUUGAAUACCAAUCAUGGACUAUACAGAAGAGAUUCUUUCAAGUUCAUAAACUAUGAAUUGAAUGUGCAACUUUAAAUUGUUCGUACCCUCUUAGACUGACAGUGUAAACAUGUAAGAGUCAAAAAUCGAAUUCUAGUUCUAAGGUAUUCCGAUUAACUGGUCAAUUUAACAUAAGUCAAAACCACACCUUUGAGUAACUGUUUUUACACAUAAAAUCUGAAAAUCAAGGUUCACAGUUAUGAUCUUUCUCUUGUGACUCGAACUAGAAGUUAGCUUUACUCAUUGACCUCGUAGUCCGAGAAAUUUGAUUUCGGAUGUAUCCAUUAGUAUAUACAAGAUGAUGUAGUAAACAAAUCUACAGUAUGAAAUUCAAUUGUUGGGGGCAAGAAACACGAUGUGGGUCGAUAUUUAGGAACGGUAGACUAAAGUAUUUUAAGAUAAGGUGGUAUAUUACUUCGUGUAUAAAAGUUUUUCGAUAUCCAGACAAGGUUUCGCACUACUCGUCUGGUGGACAUCUACCUCGAAGUCUCCAAUUAUGACUAUGAGGUUAUAGACUACACCGAUUUAGUGGGUAAUAGGGAAAUUGAAACUAACGGCUCCAACGAAGCUCGGAACUCUUACAAAGUUCGGAGCUCCUAGAACGAAGACGUCAAGAACGAAGUGGAUUACACAGGUAUCUCCUCCUUCGAAAGUUGUGGCAGUUGUUACAAAAUAGACUCAACCCAAAUAGUUUUUUGGGACGAUGUCGACUCCUCCCCCGAGGGAGUCAGUUUCCAACACUAAGGCAAGGCCUAGGAAACACGAGAGAAGUCUACAAUCUCUGCGUCAGCGUCAGACAACUACCGUUACUUGGAUAGUGCGUUGGGCUCCUACACGGCAAAGUCGAAGAGGACCUCCUGGUUGCAUUCUCCUUCUUCGUUCUUUUAAAACUGUUCUUCUCCCGCCGGAUGGAACUCUUUCCAAGACUACAAGGACCUAGACAAGUACGCCGACUCGAGUGACAACUCCUUCUGUACAGCACACCAUCACUACCGUGCCAACAGGGACAAUUCUUCUUUUAGUUCUUCUGAUGAUGCUCCUUCGAUCAUCAACCACGUCAAUGAGGAGCCUCCUCGGGUGUACAAAGUUCCGUACGUCUUCAACAACUUCUACUUCCCAAUCCGGAACCACCAUGCGGUGCGGCAUCAGGAGCACACGAACGGUGAGGGCGCGGAUGUGGAAGAGGUGAACCACGAGCACGUAGACCAUUCCCCUUCUUUACGCCGCACUUCGCGUUCCAAGGUGGACGUUUCCAGUUGUUCCCACACUUCUUCACAAGAGCACAGUUAGGUCUCCUGUUCCUACUACGACUAAAGUUACAACUACCGCUCCUGCUGCAGCUACUACUACGACGGCGAUUAGUCAUAGUCGAACACGUCGCCGGACUCUCCUCCUUCUCUCCUCCGUUUCGCGGGCUUCUUCCACCGGUUCCUCCUCCAUUCCGCUUUGUAAAAUUGUUCUGCCAAGCGACGAGUGAUCCUCUCCAGUUCUGCACACGCUUUUACGAUGUUCUAUCCGUGUUCCGCUCCCAAUAGUUCCGACCAAAACCAACACACAAACUGAACUUCCAACUAAGGUUGUAAAGAGCAGGAAACUACCCGUUGUAGAUGUGCUCCUAACUGGGAAGUUGGUACCAAAACCUGUACCCACUCCACUUAUUCCCUUUCGGACCCAUACGAUCCUCACUGCUGUAGUUCUGUUUCCUAAACGCCUUAUAGGAGCGACUUGAACACUUCCUACUCUGUUUCCUACUAGAACGAGACGUCCACAAAAUGGAAUAACAAAAGUACUUCCACCAAUAGGGACCUUGCAGAUGUGCUCACAGGUCCCUCCGUCGUUAACGGCUCUUGGAACACAAACUCCUAUACCGUCUGUACCUGAUGACGGUCAACCAACAACUUCUAUAAGCCUCACGACAACAAUCCAUAGUCGUUCCAUGAUCGUCUCCUUUUCGACAAUGUCCGACACGGUAGCGCGGCGAAGAAUACAUAGACCUGACGGAAUAGUAACCGUUCUACGGAUCAUAACUGAACUCCUGGGGAGCGUAGUUAAAGUACCUAGCCCGGUUCGAAGAACUCGAACGACGCCGACUGAACCAGUGCUUUCCACUACUACUGGGUCGGUUGACCCACAAACCCUCUGACGGAACCUUCUGUGUCCUACUCCAACACAAGAAAUCCCAAUAGCUUGCAGUACAAGAUUGAUACGGAGUAGGUCCUCCAAGAAGACGGGCACACUCACGACGUCCACCUCAAAGAACCCUCCUAAACAAACUUCGACGGUUACAAAGAGACCAAUCCUAAUUGUCAGAAGAACUUUGACAAACACCCCUCAACCGAGCACAAGGAAGUUGACGACUCGCAGAAUCAGCGCAAAUACCCUAAGAAGGAGGGCCCGUGCCCAAACUACGACUCAGAAGCUUCCUCCAGAAUACAUAACUUCGAUUUAAAGAACUUCUCGAAGCAGUCUCUUGAAGGGUGGAGGCCUGAUCGCAGCCCGACAAGUUCCUUUACGUCCUACGAGCAACGUUCGGAAAACUUCUACUCCGUUCACAACAACACUCUGUCUAAGUCUCCGUCCUAAGACAAGCAAGCCCAGCACUUCCUCCGGUGCAUCUCGUAUGGUUUCUCCUACAAGUACUACUACGAUCCCAACUCCUCCUACAAAAUGGACGCGUACUUCGACGAGGACACGUACUCCGACGGGGAUACGUACUUGGACGAGGACGAUCACCGUAUUAUCAACUACUCCAAGUACCGUCACUUUUACUCGUCGUCUUACUACUACAAUCACAAGGAGGUCUCUUCCAACAUCUGUACAGGCAGAGUUCGUGGCCGACGAGGCUGCCCCACCAGGACUGACUUGGAGUCAGCAGGUAACAGCGGCUCCAAAGUUUACGACUCGUACCGUUCUGUUGACCUCUGUAGUAAAACCUCUUUCUACGACAACUCAGAUGACAACUUUGACCACCAUCACGACGACGUUCGGGCCUCUUCAGAGGACGUCGUCUCGGUAGUCAACUACAAUUACGACAUGUCCGUGUUGGUUUUCAAAAAGAACAAAGUCUAAGAGGUCGACGAGAUCAACAACGACCACAGGAAGGACUGCUGCGACGUUGCAGACGACCUCUACUGCUACUUCUAUGGCUUUCACUAUCGAUACCUCUCCUCCUGUUCUAAAAGUCUCCAGUUAAACUAAGGGCACACUCCUUCAUGAAGUACCGCUCACCAGGUCUAUCGUACCUACGUGUACUAAACCAACAAAAGGGAUGUAAAAUGGGCGGACUCGAAGGACGAAGGUACCCACCACAGCCAGUAACCCACAGCCACAAGGAACUGGACUUCUUAAGUUCCAAGGUCGAAGAGCUAAGGAUGAGACCUGGUUUUAUACUUACACGCUGCACCUACAUGAGUUAGCGAAGAAGAUUGGAUAAACUCUGUCUGAAGGUUCGAGACAAACCGAUGAUGUGUAACCUAGGCAACCUCAACUGGCUAAUGGUGAUGAGUAAGGAGCCCAGUGUCCUUAUGGUCGGAUCCCUCCUCGGCUACUCAUGUCGAGGCUAUCUUCUACUAUCUGGAGCCUGGGAGUAAGGAAGGUUCAACCCCUUCGUCCGAUCACCAUAAACACCAUGAGGUUUUUGGGGCACGAUGUCCUUCCGACUACGUCAGCUUCGUCGGCUUCGUCUUCACUAAAGCAGGCUACUACUAAAACUCUUCUAACGAAUGGGCUUCUUACGAUUUACACGACGAGCAUGACAAAGAUCAUCUCCACCCUUCUUACAACAGUAGUGGUCCUCCUUUGGCCGUCAACUCAGACCCUUGUAUUGAAGGAGGUUCUCUCGUAGAUCUAACGGAAACUUCACCGCAAGAGGACAGCGAGGGGACUUUUUUAUGUCAAUGGGAGUAGAUAGGCUCCGGGCCUUCAACUUUGUCAUACACGACUCAUUUCUGCCAGACCUCUUCAUAAGACUCUGUUCGAUGAUGUACAAAUGGUAGGGACGCUUACACUAACUGGAGUGUCCUACACAGGAAAUAUGCGAAAAGCCACUUCCCGCCGUCUACCUUCCUCUGUAUUACCUAAUAGAGUAUUUAAACACCUUCCUAUUCGGCCUCUGGAGACUCUAUAAGUGAUCACGAUUGUCCCAACAUGAAUCAGGGAUGAAGUAUGUCAUGACGGACCUCAUACUAAAGAUGCGGCGUUGUCAAGGUUUCAAACUACGUUUUUUUUACGACCAGAGGAGGGUUAUAAACAAGUGUUCCUUCUUCUGGAAGAAUUGCGUUUCGACUAUAGCACCCUCGUAACUGUAGGAACUAAGUGAAAGAAUACUAUUAUACCUUUGCAGCGCUAGCUCAAAGGUGCCCCUGACGGUUUUAUAGUACUUCUCUAAACAACCCAACGAGCUCCUCCACAUGCCGUUCCGACGUAUGUUCCGCUCGUUCGUCGGAUUGACCCACUGAUAACGUUUCUCCGGCUGAAAGUAGCUACAAGACUUCAUC
rnacentral:rRNA from 1 species